GAUGAACGCUGGCGGCGUGCCUAAUACAUGCAAGUCGAGCGAACAGAUAAGGAGCUUGCUCCUUUGACGUUAGCGGCGGACGGGUGAGUAACACGUGGAUAACCUACCUAUAAGACUGGGAUAACUUCGGGAAACCGGAGCUAAUACCGGAUAACAUAUUGAACCGCAUGGUUCAAUAGUGAAAGGCGGCUUUGCUGUCACUUAUAGAUGGAUCCGCGCCGUAUUAGCUAGUUGGUAAGGUAACGGCUUACCAAGGCAACGAUACGUAGCCGACCUGAGAGGGUGAUCGACCACACUGGAACUGAGACACGGUCCAGACUCCUACGGGAGGCAGCAGUAGGGAAUCUUCCGCAAUGGGCGAAAGCCUGACGGAGCAACGCCGCGUGAGUGAUGAAGGUCUUCGGAUCGUAAAACUCUGUUAUCAGGGAAGAACAAAUGUGUAAGUAACUGUGCACAUCUUGACGGUACCUGAUCAGAAAGCCACGGCUAACUACGUG
rnacentral:rRNA from 1 species